UUGCUAUCGAGGUUUUUCGUUAACUAGGAACAACCAAUGAAAAUCUGCGUCUUUUUCGAAGAUCGUCCUCGUCAUUGGCUGUCGCUAGUUAACGAUACCGAAAGGCAUCGAUUGCAAGUUGCAGAAUUCCCGUACAGGAUUGCUUCCGAUUUAAUAAAUUACUAGAAAUCCUGAGUGCUGAGUGGUGCAAUGAUAGUAAUUUAUUAGAUUGCAAGCAGUCCAGCAGGAGCGCUGUCAACAGACAACUCGAUUCGUAUUCGUGCGUAUCACGUGGUUCUCAUAUGCAUGAAGCUUUCGUGGUUAUAUUAACGAUGAGUACGGGACUACGGGAGGUACGGGAUAAAACAUAGAUUUUUAUAUACAAUAACAAUAUCUAUUGUGUACUGUGUAAUCCACAAAAAACAACAUUUGAACUAUUAGAAUCUUAUUCUUCACGUUACUUCUACUGAAAUUCAAGAUAAUAUAAGUAAACGGCAAGUGAAACUAUUAAAAAUGGCAAGUAAAGCUAUGCAUGCGGAUAUAAACUUCACGUUCAAAGAAAUGAAAAGAAAUAUAAGAUUCCUUAAAAAACCAUGUAAUUGGGGAGUGUGUGUUCAUGACACAUCGAUUGUUUUGGUAUCAAUGCUUAGUGACUCAGUAGAAGGAAUGAAAAUGGUGAUCAAUGAUAAAAUGGAAGUUAAGUUGUUUUAUCGUAACACGUUCCUACCAUGGAUGACAUUGAAAAAAAUUAGGUCGAUAGAUCAUCUUUCAGAAGUCGUCGAAAAAUUGAAUAACUUAAGACCCCUUCCUGAGGUCGAGCAUGUUCCUACUGACAUUCAUUAAAAUUUCAAUCAAACAUACAAACAUAUUUAUUAACUAACAUGUUUUUCUAUUAUACAUUACA